rnacentral:siRNA from 1 species
UUGAUUCAUUGGCCAGAUUUGG